AUUCCGCGUGAGUGAAGAAGGCCUUCGGGUUGUAAAGCUCUUUCAGCUGGAAACGAAACGGUACGCUCUAACAUAGCGUGCUACUGACGGUACCAGCAGAAGAAGCACCGGCUAACUACGUGCCAGCAGCCGCGGUAAUACGUAGGGUGCGAGCGUUAAUCGGAAUUACUGGGCGUAAAGCGUGCGCAGGCGGAUUGUUAAGCAAGACGUGAAAUCCCCGGGCUUAACCUGGGAAUGGCGUUUUGAACUGGCAGUCUAGAGUGCGUCAGAGGGGGGUGGAAUUCCACGUGUAGCAGUGAAAUGCGUAGAGAUGUGGAGGAACACCGAUGGCGAAGGCAGCCCCCUGGGAUGACACUGACGCUCAUGUACGAAAGCGUGGGUAGCAAACAGGAUUAGAUACCCUGGUAGUCCACGCCCUAAACGAUGUCAACUGGUUGUUGGGGAGUGAAAUCCCUUAGUAACGAAGCUAACGCGUGAAGUUGACCGCCUGGGGAGUACGGUCGCAAGAUUA
rnacentral:rRNA from 1 species